AGAAACAGCUUCUUAUAAAGUAUUGUUUUACAGGCUAAUAUUUUUUUAUGUAAUGUAUGGUAUUCAAAUGUAAUUAUAAAUAGGAUUGGGAUAAUACAAAAAUAUACUUUUUGCUUAGUGAUAUCUAUUACAUUGUGACAGAAUUUGGUUUCUCAAUAAUUCUCAUCCUGAGUGCCAAACUGAUCAAUUGCAUCCUAAUGGAACGUUCAAGAUGUGAUUCAGUAACUGAUACGGUAGUUGCAAUAAUUAUUUUUGACCAAAUGAUUACGAACAAGUGCCAGCUAUCUUUGGAGAGGUAAUGCACCUACUCUGAUAUCCCGUGAUAAGAACUUGGGAGAGAUUUAGUGAAAACCUGGAGAACGGCCACUUAGCUCACAAAUCUGAGCUGUUCACAUCAAGCCGAUAUUUGUGACAGCCAUUAUAGCUUUAAUCAUGUAAGUAAACACUUGAUCAGACUAUAAUUUUCAAUUAUUUGUAUCAAUUAACUGCGCCCGGUUCUACUCAGAAUAACAACGGCACAGGUUUCUUUCUUUAAACUACAACAGUACUAUCACCGACAGGAGUCGAGUCGGAGCAGUGGUAGCGGACUGUCGUGUUUCGAGGAG